UACGAAGGGGGCUAGCGUUGCUCGGAAUCACUGGGCGUAAAGGGUGCGUAGGCGGGUCUUUUAAGUCAGGGGUGAAAUCCUGGAGCUCAACUCCAGAACUGCCUUUGAUACUGAAGGAUCUUGAGUACGGGAGAGGUGAGUGGAACUGCGAGUGUAGAGGUGAAAUUCGUAGAUAUUCGCAAGAACACCAGUGGCGAAGGCGGCUCACUGGCCCGUUACUGACGCUGAGGCACGAAAGCGUGGGGAGCAAACAGG
rnacentral:rRNA from 1 species